rnacentral:rRNA from 1 species
GAUGAACGCUGACGGAAUGCUUAACACAUCAGCAAUUGAUUGGUGGCGGACGGGUGAGUAACGCGUAAAGAACUUCCCUCCCGGCAAGGACCAACAUUUGGAAACGAAUGCUAAUACCUAAUACUGUGGCGGAGCUUUGCGACCCAUGAGCUAGUUGGUGAGGUAACGGCUCACCAAGGCGAUGAUCGGUAGCCGUACUGAGAGAGUGAUCGGUCACAAAGUGACGCGGAGACUGCCGUUACGCAGACUAGAGGGAGUGGUGGGGAAUAUAAGGACAAGGACCGAAGGCUGAACAAGGUGUUCUGGGUGGAGAAUGAAGUUUUAGAAAUGAAAAGUGAGUUCAGUAGGAAAGCGGUACCAACACAAAAAGUGACGGCUAAAUACGUGCCAGCAGCCGCGGUAAUUC